AUUAUAUAAGACAGCCCUGGUAAUAAGAGAUCGAAAUUCUGGUACAAAGUUCUGCCAGAUUCCCACCACCUCUAACGAUGUCAACCGCUACUCCAAAUGCCUCCUCUGAUGUACUUGAUUUUGUGGUGCACAAAGCAAACGGCUUAAAGGGUUUAGUUGAUACAGGUCUUCAAUCCCUUCCUCGCCAAUAUAUCCAACCACCAGAACGAAGGUUGAAUGCAAGCCAAGUCAUUUCCCAAGAAUCCAUACCCAUUAUUGAUGUCUCCAAUUGGGAUGAUCCACAGCUUGUAGAAUCAAUCUUUGAAGCUGCAAGCAAGUGGGGUUUCUUUCAGAUUAUCAAUCAUGGGAUUCCACAAGAGAUUCUUGAUCAUUUACAGGAUGCAGCUCAUGGGUUCUUUGGGUUACCCAAUGAAGAAAGAAAGAAGUUUUGGAAAGGGAAAUCCCCAACUGAUACUGCGUUCCUUGCAACAAGUUUUACUCCUCUAAAGGAGAAGGUGCUGGAGUGGAAAGAUUAUCUGAGCUUUCGUUAUAUCCCUGGAGAUGAAAAGUCUCAGACACUCUGGCCUUCUGUAUGCAAGGAUCCAGUGCUGGAUUAUAUGAAGAGGGUUGAAAUGGUUAUCAAAAAGCUGUUAGAGCUGCUACUGACAAAACUCAAUGUGAGGGAGAUUGACAAAGAAAAAGAAUAUGCCUUAAUGGGUUCGCUAACUAUUAACCUGAACUACUAUCCUCAUUGCCCUAAUCCUGAACUUGUGACCGGAGUAGGCUGUCAUUCUGAUAUUUCAUCCAUCACAGUCCUCCUACAAGAUGACAUUGGCGGGCUUUAUGUUCGAGGAAUUGAAGAGGAUAGCUGGAUUCAUAUCCCACCGGUUAAUGGAGCACUUGUGAUCAAUAUUGGAGAUGUGCUGCAGAUAAUGAGCAAUGACCAAUAUAAAAGUAUAGAGCAUCGUGUGGUUGCCAAUGGAAGCAAGAAUAGGGUUUCAGUUCCUAUCUUUGUCAAUCCAGGACCUGAUGCUCUAAUUGGACCUCUACCAGAAGUGCUAGAGACUGGAGCAGCACCCAGAUAUAAGCCAAUUCUCUUUUCAGAUUACUUCAGUUUUUUCUUUAGCAAAGGUCAUGACGGGAAAAAUUCUAUCAACUAUGCAAAGAUAUGAUACCGAUCCAGAUGUUAAGACUUCAUAUCUUUUGUAAUAAGAAAGUAGUAGUUAGGAUGUAAUGUAAUUCUGCUGUCUGUUAAUGCCAGGAGAGGCUAUGCGCUCAGGUGGCUGGGUAUAAUGUCUUUAGUAGGCCUAAGCAGCCUUUUGAGUGGCUUCUGGAAAAAUGCAGCUUGUAUUAUUUGGCAGAAACUUUUCUAUCUUCCCCUUGUUGACCAACUGCAUCAAUGGCAUGACAAUUCUGUAGCACCUUAGCAGAAUUUUUAAACAUAGUAAAAAAAAAU
rnacentral:misc_RNA from 1 species